UGGGGAAUAUUGCACAAUGGGCGAAAGCCUGAUGCAGCGACGCCGCGUGAGGGAUGACGGCCUUCGGGUUGUAAACCUCUUUCAGCAGGGAAGAAGCGCAAGUGACGGUACCUGCAGAAGAAGCACCGGCUAACUACGUGCCAGCAGCCGCGGUAAUACGUAGGGUGCGAGCGUUGUCCGGAAUUAUUGGGCGUAAAGAGCUCGUAGGCGGUCUGUCGCGUCGGAUGUGAAAGCCCGGGGCUUAACUCCGGGUCUGCAUUCGAUACGGGCAGACUAGAGUGUGGUAGGGGAGAUCGGAAUUCCUGGUGUAGCGGUGAAAUGCGCAGAUAUCAGGAGGAACACCGGUGGCGAAGGCGGAUCUCUGGGCCAUUACUGACGCUGAGGAGCGAAAGCGUGGGGAGCGAACA
rnacentral:rRNA from 1 species